rfam:Haliaeetus albicilla contig23983, whole genome shotgun sequence.
CUCUUUUAAGAGCCACCAAGUUUUCAAUAAAAGGGCUG